UACAGAGGUCCCGAGCGUUGUUCGGAUUCACUGGGCGUAAAGGGUGCGUAGGUGGCCAGGUAAGUUUGAUGUGAAAGCUCAGGGCUUAACCCUGAAAUGGCAUUGAAUACUACUGUGCUGGAGGUUUGGAGGGGGGACUGGAAUUCUUGGUGUAGCAGUGAAAUGCGUAGAUAUCAAGAGGAACACCAGUGGCGAAGGCGAGUCCCUGGACAACACCUGACACUGAGGCACGAAAGCUAGGGGAGCAAACAGG
rnacentral:rRNA from 1 species